rnacentral:lncRNA from 1 species
GAACUGCAUCUGUUGUAAAGUUAGAACAAAAUAGUAGCUAAUGGAUACUUGUGGAUACCUUGACACAUAACUUUAUCCCGACAACAAAAUUGUAGCUUUUGGACUAGCCCAAUGAAUAGGCCUAUCAGACCGGUGGGAUACCAAUUGCACCAGCUAUAAACAGAUCAAUAUUCCCUGUUCUGUAAGAGCAAUGGCCAGGUCAGAGAACAUCCCUCUGGAGGAGGAGAUGGUGAUCAUCCUGGACCAAUGCGGGCCAGAUCUGACAUAUGUCCUGCAUAGCAAGUUUGGAUGUACUGCUGUGCUCCAUGGUGUUGAUGCCGGUGCAGGUGCCAUGAAGUUCAAGAAGCCAGUAUUUAAGCACAAAACGGUCCAUUCCGACUCCAGAGAUGCAAGGAAAGGUUUUCAACCGUUUAUCGAGCUCUGCGGUGCCUAUCAUG